GCUGAAACAAUAACUGACAGGGUGUCUCUCCUAUGUUAAUUGUUAACUCAAAGGACUGCCCUAGGACAUUGAAAAUGCCCCUGCUGUUAACUGUUUAUUGCAGAGGAAGGAGGGGGAGACAUGAUCCUGCCUCUUCAGAUCCCAGAAAGCAUGGAUUGCAAAACGAAAGCUAAGGAAUGAAUUUUCACAGAGAAAAUUCACACUACCUAUCAGAAAGUCCCUAAUACCACCCCUUAUACUUCAUGGCACUUUAAGAAAUUCAGCAUCUUGACCAAGUUAUGAUCCUCUCCUGCUGUUGCACUGAGGAAAAGAAGUGAGAAGCUAAAAGAACCAGAGCACAAUCAAAGUGGGAAUGAAGACAAACAGCGAUGACACCAGAGUUGGUUUUCUCUUGUUUUCCUGAGGCAAGUACUGUCCCAGUGUCUUGUGAUGCUGUGAGAUGUGGAACACAACCAAACCCUCCAGCCACUUCAAUUGUAACUGGACAAACAAGCACAGUGAUUUCACCUGUGUUUCUCUAACAGACAUCAUACAUUCGAUAGAGCAUAACUAGAUUCCAAGAGACCAUCUGCUGAUGUCACUAGGACUUUUCUCAAAGUAAGGGCUAAAUAGGAACACAAGACUGACCCAAGGAGCAAAAGCUGCAGAUGAAUUUAAGUAGGAAUUGAUGACUAUAAAAUAUGUAGACUUGAGGAAAGACAAAAAAAAAAGGAAAAAAGAAGGUGGUAGAAUAUGGUUGGAAGCAUACACCAAAUGACAGAAAUGUACCACAAUAAACAAAAGAAGCUUAAGCCUGUUCCCAGUAGCAAAAUAUAAAGUGUACUUUCUUUCCUAUCAGUCAUGCUAUAGCAACCAAUAAAUCAA